UACGAAGGGGGCUAGCGUUGUUCGGAAUCACUGGGCGUAAAGCGCACGUAGGCGGAUUGCUAAGUCAGGGGUGAAAUCCUGGAGCUCAACUCCAGAACUGCCUUUGAUACUGGCGAUCUCGAGUCCGGGAGAGGUGAGUGGAACUGCGAGUGUAGAGGUGAAAUUCGUAGAUAUUCGCAAGAACACCAGUGGCGAAGGCGGCUCACUGGCCCGGAACUGACGCUGAGGUGCGAAAGCGUGGGAGCAAACAGG
rnacentral:rRNA from 1 species